AGAGGUUUGGUCCUAGCUUUCUUAUUGGUUGUGUGCAAAAUUAUACAUGCAAGACUCCUCAGCCCAGUGAGAAUGCCCUCAAAAUCUAAUUCAGACCAAAAGGAGCUGGCAUCAGGCACACUUUAAAGUAGCCCUAAACGCCUUGUGAAACCACACCCCCACGGGAUACAGCAGUAAUAAAACUUAAGCAAUGAACGAAAGUUUGACUAAGUUAUGCAUACACAAGGGUUGGUAAAUCUCGUGCCAGCCACCGCGGUCAUACGAUUAACCCAAAUUAAUAAGCUAACGGCGUAAAGAGUGUUAAAGACUCAAAAGAAAAUAAGAUCAAAUUUUAUUUAAGUCGUAAAAAACUCCAAAUAAAAGUAAGCCCAAUAAACGAAAGUAAUCUUAACUAACCUAACACACGAAAGCUAGGACCCAAACUGGGAUUAGAUACCCCACUAUGCCUAGCCGUAAACAUAAAAACUUCACAACAAAAAUUUUCGCCAGAGAACUACUAGCAACAGCUUAAAACUCAAAGGACUUGGCGGUGCUUUAUAUCCACCUAGAGGAGCCUGUUCUAUAAUCGAUAAACCCCGAUCAACCUCACCAUUUCUUGCUAAUCCAGCCUAUAUACCGCCAUCUUCAGCUAACCUUAAUAAAGGAAAAAAGUAAGCACAAUAACCCUCGUAAAAACGUUAGGUCAAGGUGUAGCCUAUGAAAUGGGAAGAAAUGGGCUACAUUCUCUUGACAAGAAAACUAUACGGAUAUCCUUAUGAAACUUAAAGAUUUAAGGAGGAUUUAGUAGUAAAUUAAGAAUAGAGAGCUUAAUUGAACUAGGCCAUGAAGCACGUACACACCGCCCGUCACCCUCCUCAAGCAUUCAUCUCAACUUCCAAUAAACGCAAGAGGAGAUAAGUCGUAACAAGGUAAGCGUACUGGAAAGUGUGCUUGGACGAA
rnacentral:ncRNA from 1 species